GCCUCUAGUUCCCCCAUUUUGUUAUAUAGGCUCCUUACAUUAGUAAGCAUACAUUUAAUAUUACCAUGAGUCAUUUGUACUUUUUGUGAAAUAUCAAUAUUACAUACCUCCUCUGUUCUGAGCUUUCCCCUCCCCCCAUCUCCACCCCCUUUGUUCUGAGCUAAGCCCAUCUCAUUUCUAUCCUAUCUCCAUUUUCUAUAUUGCUUUGACCCUCCCUCCCUACUACUAGUUUAAAAUCCAACCUUCUAGCCAUCCUAUCCCCCAGCACAGCAAACCUCUUCCGUUUAGGUGCAAUCCAU